UCCCACUUUAGGCGAGACUGCCGGUAAUAAACGGGAGGAAGGGGGGGAUGACGUCAAUUCAUCAUGCCCCUUAUGACCUGGGCUACACACGUGCUACAAUGGCUGGUACAACGAGUCGCAAGUCGGUGACGGCAAGCUAAUCUCUUAAAGCCAGUCUCAGUUCGGAUUGUAGGCUGCAACUCGCCUACAUGAAGUCGGAAUCGCUAGUAAUCGCGGAUCAGCACGCCGCGGUGAAUACGUUCCCGGGCCUUGUACACACCGCCCGUCACACCACGAGAGUUUGUAACACCCGAAGUCGGUGAGGUAACCUUUUGGAGCCCGCCGCCUAAGGUGGGAUAGAUGAUUGGGGUGAAGUCGUAACAAGGGAACCGUAA
rnacentral:rRNA from 1 species